UACCAGCACCCCGAGUGGUCGGGACGAUUAUUGGGCCUAAAGCGUCCGUAGCCGGUUUUACAAGUCCCCCGUUAAAUCCAGCUGCUUAACAGAUGGGCUGCGGAGGAUACUAUAAGACUAGGAGGCAGGAGAGGCAAGCGGUACUCAGUGGGUAGGGGUAAAAUCCGUUGAUCCAUUGAAGACCACCAGUGGCGAAGGCGGCUUGCCAGAAUGCGCUCGACGGUGAGGGAUGAAAGCUGGGGGAGCAAACCGG
rnacentral:rRNA from 1 species